UACGUAGGUGGCAAGCGUUGUCCGGAAUUACUGGGUGUAAAGGGCGUGUAGGCGGGGGAGCAAGUCAGAUGUGAAAUUCCUAGGCUUAACCUGGGCGCUGCAUCUGAAACUGUUUCUCUUGAGUGCUGGAGAGGAAAGUGGAAUUCCUAGUGUAGCGGUGAAAUGCGUAGAGAUUAGGAGGAACACCAGUGGCGAAGGCGGCUUUCUGGACAGUAACUGACGCUGAGGCGCGAAAGCGUGGGGAGCAAACAGG
rnacentral:rRNA from 1 species